CGCCUCCUGCUCAAAAAUAGGAGGUCCAGCCUGCCCAAUGAUUAUUUAAAUGGCCGCGGUACCCUAACCGUGCAAAGGUAGCGAAAUCACUUGUCUACUAAAUAUAGACCUGUAUGAACGGCACCACGAGGGCCACACUGUCUCCCCCCUUUAAUCAGUAAAACUGAUCCCCCCGUGAAGAAGCGGGGAUUCAAAUACAAGACGAGAAGACCCCAUGGAGCUUUAAACCAAGAGUCAACUGCUAAAUUUUAUAUCAUAAAUACCACAAUUAUGACUCAAAGUUUUCGGUUGGGGCGACCGCGGAGCAUAACAAAACCUCCACGAUGAAAGAACAUGAAAUUCUUACCCAAGAACCACACCACAAAGGACCACAAAUGUGACAUCCAUUGACCCAAAAGCUUGAUCAACGAACCUAGUUACCCUGGGGAUAACAGCGCAAUCCAUUUCAAGAGCCCAUAUCGACAAAUGGGUUUACGACCUCGAUGUUGGAUCGGGGUAUCCCAGUGGUGCAACCGCUACUAAAGGUUCGUUUGUUCAACGAUUAAAACCCC
rnacentral:rRNA from 1 species